CUUGAACGUCAUUCAUAAUUAUUUUGAUGGUCUAUAUAACAAAAUUAUUUUCAGAUCUGUAUCUAGUUAAAUUUUUUUAUAUGCUUCAGCAAGACUGUUCAGUAAAAUUUCUUUCCGUGUACCGAUCUUUGAAUCAAAGCAUUUAAACGCUUUAUUUUUUCUUUUUUCAUUUGUUUCUCAUAAAUUGAAUUUACAUGAUAGUCAAUACAAAAUUUAUGUUUAUAUUUAUUGAUGUUUGAUACUGUGUAUAAUACAUAUGCUAACAGGUAUUUAAAAAUUAUUGUAACAUUAAUUAAAAUCUUUACAGGAAAAAUGAUAUGAAUGUCUUGUUACAAAUGUGAGUUAAAUUAAAAUUCUGUGAUCUAAUUAUCAUGCCAUAAAACGGAACAUUUUUUCUGAUUUUUGCCUCAAUGUGCCAAGCCUCAAUUAAAUGACGUAUCCUAUUUUAUAUGUUUUCGAUAUGCAUUAAAUUACAUAAAGAAAAAAAAUAAUUUUUCAAGUGAAAGUUAGUCGUUAAGAAUCUUUUCUUCUUCAACGUCCAAUUGUACAUUUCGUAAUGCUAUUUAUCUUGAUAUUUUUCUGUACUCUUGUCAGACUUUCGCUCUCACGCUGGUAACGACGGAGUCUUGUUUUGUCGUAUAAAAAUUUAUGUAUUCAAGGGUUAAACAACUUUGCGCGCGAGGAUGACGCGACGGCAGAACUAAUGGAGACAACGAGACGACCGGUCGACUUUCUCCGUCUGCGGGCUCUCCGUGGGGCGGAAAAACACGGCGUCUGAAUUCACCGGGCGAACCGCGCGCGCGGGAAGAGGCCGCAACCCCCCGAGGGUCGAGAGCGAGCGAGCGAGCGAGGGAAAGUGAGGAGCGAACCUCGGCCCCCGCGGAGGGCAGCGGGAGAGAUCGGAGGCCCUGUAAUGAUCUUACGGCCAUGAUCUCAUGCUGAAUAAGCCUCUUUAGCCUAGUCACGCUUUUGAAUGCGAAGGCCUAAGAAAUGGUGCAUAAAGUUACCGAUUGUUGACGUUUUGAGUGCGGCACGAGCACCAUUGCAUUGGAAAUCGAUGUCUACCUGCAGUGAUUUUUUACCUGAGCGCGUGCCAUGUACCUGCCACGCGUGAGAGUUAGGUCCAAUCGAUUCGAUGGAGUGAGAAUAAUAGGGUAUCAAUACCUGUUGCUGAAAACGCUUUUUGUUACCUGUUUCAGUUGGCCUGUUAGCAAUACCGCAAGUAUUGAGACAUCUAUAAGUCACCAAUGACGUUCAUUUUGGUAUUUUAGCCGUAAUGACAGAUUAAACUUUACUUUUUGGUAUAUUUUAUAUAAUUAGAUAGACAUAAGAAGUUAUUUCAUUAUCAAUAAAUUUCCAUUUAUAAUUGGAAAGAUAAAAUGAAUUUAAAAAAAUUAAUUAAAUAAA